rnacentral:piRNA from 1 species
CAAAUCAUGGUGUCAGGACUCCU